AUGAGCUUUAAUAUGUGCAAUUGACCGGCAACCAACGUGCAUUCUGCAGGUUUUUGGUAGUCCCCGAAGUAAUCCUUCAUCCGUGUGAAAGUGGAAUGCUAAAAGAACAAGUUGACAACAGCACCAGAAAAUAAGGUGAAAAUAUGUCACCAUUUAGUGAGUACAACCUGAUAACAGACCAACAUAACAGACCACGUGAGAGGAGAAAAAGCAGUCUUCAGCUGUGAGCUGUGUACGUACACCUCACUCAAGAGAUCGAGUCGGAACUGUCACAGGAAAAUCCAUUCUGAAGAAAAAUGUCACGUGUCUCAAGGCUUUUCAAACAGCUGCUCUCCUGCAGAACCACGUGAAUGUCCAUACAGGUAUCUGCUGCGUGUAGAUAUUCCAUGUUACCUAUUGCCUGCAGUACUUAACCAGCAGGCAAGUGACAGACUUAGAGGUGUGUUCUGUGAUCAUUCUGCC
rnacentral:lncRNA from 1 species